rnacentral:rRNA from 1 species
CGGUGGAGGUAUGUGGUUUAAUUCGAUGCAACGCGAAGAACCUUACCUGGUCUUGACAUCCCGGAGACCCUUAGGAAACUAGGGGUGCUUCCAUCUGGAAGAAUCUGGAGACAGGUGCUGCAUGGCUGUCGUCAGCUCGUGUCGUGAGAUGUUGGGUUAAGCCCCGCAACGAGCGCAACCCUUGCCUUUAGUUGCCAGCAGUUCGGCUGGGCACUCUAAAGGGACUGCCGGUGUUAAACCGGAGGAAGGUGGGGAUGACGUCAAGUCCUCAUGGCCUUUAUGACCAGGGCUACACACGUACUACAAUGGCCGAUACAAAGGGCAGCGACACUGCGAGGUGAAGCCAAUCCCGUAAAAUCGGUCUCAGUCCGGAUUGGAGUCUGCAACUCGACUCCAUGAAGUUGGAAUCGCUAGUAAUCGUGGAUCAGCAUGCCACGGUGAAUACGUUCCCGGGCCUU